GGAACUCAAAGGAGACUGCCAGUGAUAAACUGGAGGAAGGUGGGGAUGACGUCAAGUCAUCAUGGCCCUUACGACCAGGGCUACACACGUGCUACAAUGGCGCAUACAAAGAGAAGCGACCUCGCGAGAGCAAGCGGACCUCAUAAAGUGCGUCGUAGUCCGGAUUGGAGUCUGCAACUCGACUCCAUGAAGUCGGAAUCGCUAGUAAUCGUGGAUCAGAAUGCCACGGUGAAUACGUUCCCGGGCCUUGUACACACCGCCCGUCACACCAUGGGAGUGGGUUGCAAAAGAAGUAGGUAGCUUAACCUUCGGGAGGGCGCUUACCACUUUGUGAUUCAUGACUGGGGUGAAGUCGUAACAAGGUAACCGUAGGGGAACCUGCGGUUGGA
rnacentral:rRNA from 4 species